AUUGAACGCUGGCGGCAUGCCUUACACAUGCAAGUCGAACGGCAGCACGGGAGCUUGCUCCUGGUGGCGAGUGGCGAACGGGUGAGUAAUACAUCGGAACGUACCCUGAAGUGGGGGAUAACGUAGCGAAAGUUACGCUAAUACCGCAUAUUCUGUGAGCAGGAAAGAGGGGGAUCGCAAGACCUCUUGCUUUAGGAGCGGCCGAUGUCGGAUUAGCUAGUUGGUGAGGUAAAGGCUCACCAAGGCGACGAUCCGUAGCGGGUCUGAGAGGAUGAUCCGCCACACUGGGACUGAGACUCGGCCCAGACUCCUACGGGAGGCAGCAGUGGGGAAUUUUGGACAAUGGGCGCAAGCCUGAUCCAGCCAUGCCGCGUGAGUGAAGAAGGCCUUCGGGUUGUAAAGC
rnacentral:rRNA from 1 species